rnacentral:rRNA from 1 species
CUUCUUUAGAAUAUAUUUAAAGAUAAAGUCUGCUCAGUGUAUAUACAGAAUAAAUAGCUGCGGUAUCUUAACUGCACUAAGGUAGCAUAAUUAAUUGUCUUUUAAAUGGUGACUUGUUUGAAUGGCUUAUUGAGAAAAAAACUUUUUUUGAAUCUUUUUUAAAUUAUAAUUUUUGGUAAAAAUACCUAAAUAAAAAAGAAAGACGAGAAGACCCUGUUGAGCUUUACAUUUUAUAAUAAUGUUUAAAUGGGAAAUUUAAUUUUUUUUUAAUAUUUUGAAGAUCCUAAAAACCUUUAUAUAUUUUGGAAGUAGGAUAAAGUUACCACAGGGAUAACAGGACUAUAUUUACUAAGAGUUCUAAUCGAAGUAAAUGAUUGUUACCUCGAUGUUGAAUCGAAAAUUCUUUUUGGUGUAGAGACUAAUUAAGAAGGUCUGUUCGACCUUUAAAUUUUC